GCCCUGAUGGUCUAGCGGUAUGAUUCUCCCUUAGGGUUAUCCAACGACGAUUCGGUAUGGGAGAGGUCCCAGGUUCGAUCCCUGGUUAGGGCC
rnacentral:tRNA from 1 species